CAGCGCAGUGUAGCAAUACAUGGGCGGCGACCGGCAAACGGGUGCGGAACACGUACACAACCUUCCUUUAAGCGGGGAAUAGCCCGGGGAAACCCGGAUUAAUACCCCAUAGUACGUCGGAGAGGCAUCUCUCUGAUUUUAAAGAUUUAUCACUUAAAGAUGGGUGUGCGGCUGAUUAGGUAGUUGGCGGGGUAACGGCCCACCAAGCCUACGAUCAGUAACUGGUGUGAGAGCACGACCAGUCACACGGGCACUGAGACACGGGCCCGACUCCUACGGGAGGCAGCAGUAAGGAAUAUUGGUCAAUGGACGAAAGUCUGAACCAGCCAUGCCGCGUGGAGGAUGAAGGUCCUCUGGAUUGUAAACUUCUUUUAUAUGGGACGAAAAAGGGACUUUCUAGUUCAACUGACGGUACCAUAUGAAUAAGCACCGGCUAACUCCGUGCCAGCAGCCGCGGUAAUACGGAGGGUGCAAGCGUUAUCCGGAUUCACUGGGUUUAAAGGGUGCGUAGGUGGGUUGGUAAGUCAGUGGUGAAAUCUUCGAGCUUAACUUGGAAACUGCCAGUUGAUACUAUCAGUCUUGAAUACCGUGAAGGUCAUCGGAAUAAUGU
rnacentral:rRNA from 1 species